rnacentral:misc_RNA from 1 species
GAAUAAACAAACGGCUCGUCUGAAAUGCCUGAGUGUACCCCGCUUUGCGGCGUAUUCGGUGUGAUAAAUCUUCACCGGAGUUGAUCCCUUUAUGGGGUCGCGUCUGUAAUCGUGUGGCUCUAUGCUUCGAACCGUCUCCUAUCGAGACAAAUCUCUGACAAUUUGACCUCAAAUCGGGUGGGACUACCCGCUGAACUUAA